GCCAGUGUGGUGCAAUGGUUUGAGUGUUGGACUAUGACUCUGGGAGACCAGGGUUCAAAUCCCCACUCCGCCA
rnacentral:tRNA from 1 species